rnacentral:rRNA from 2 species
CCUGGCUCAGAUUGAACGCUGGCGGCAUGCCUUACACAUGCAAGUCGAACGGCAGCACGGGGGCAACCCUGGUGGCGAGUGGCGAACGGGUGAGUAAUACAUCGGAACGUGCCCUGUAGUGGGGGAUAACUAGUCGAAAGAUUAGCUAAUACCGCAUACGACCUGAGGGUGAAAGCGGGGGACCGCAAGGCCUCGCGCUACAGGAGCGGCCGAUGUCUGAUUAGCUAGUUGGUGGGGUAAAAGCCUACCAAGGCGACGAUCAGUAGCUGGUCUGAGAGGACGAUCAGCCACACUGGGACUGAGACACGGCCCAGACUCCUACGGGAGGCAGCAGUGGGGAAUUUUGGACAAUGGGGGCAACCCUGAUCCAGCAAUGCCGCGUGUGUGAAGAAGGCCUUCGGGUUGUAAAGCACUUU